rnacentral:rRNA from 1 species
GGUGAACGCUGGCGGCGUGCCUAAUACAUGCAAGUCGAGCGAACAGAUGAGGAGCUUGCUCCUCUGACGUUAGCGGCGGACGGGUGAGUAACACGUGGAUAACCUACCUAUAAGACUGGGAUAACUUCGGGAAACCGGAGCUAAUACCGGAUAAUAUAUUGAACCGCAUGGUUCAAUAGUGAAAGACGGUUUUGCUGUCACUUAUAGAUGGAUCCGCGCCGCAUUAGCUAGUUGGUAAGGUAACGGCUUACCAAGGCAACGAUGCGUAGCCGACCUGAGAGGGUGAUCGGCCACACUAGAACUGAGACACGGUCCAGACUCCUACGGGAGGCAGCAGUAGGGAAUCUUCCGCAAUGGGCGAAAGCCUGACGGAGCAACGCCGCGUGAGUGAUGAAGGUCUUCGGAUCGUAAAACUCUGUUAUUAGGGAAGAACAAAUGUGUAAGUAACUAUGCACGUCUUGACGGUACCUAAUCAGAAAGCCACGGCUAACUACGUG